UACGUAGGGUGCGAGCGUUGUCCGGAAUUAUUGGGCGUAAAGAGCUUGUAGGCGGUCUGUCGCGUCUGCCGUGAAAUUUCGGGGCUCAACCCCGAACUUGCGGUGGGUACGGGCAGACUAGAGUGUGGUAGGGGAGACUGGAAUUCCUGGUGUAGCGGUGAAAUGCGCAGAUAUCAGGAGGAACACCGGUGGCGAAGGCGGAUCUCUGGGCCAUUACUGACGCUGAGGAGCGAAAGCGUGGGGAGCGAACAGG
rnacentral:rRNA from 1 species